CUCUCAUAUAUGAACAAGAUUGUGAUCCUUUUUGUGUUCCUAUACAAUGUGUUUUUCUUACCUAAGCUAUGGUAAAAAUGUGAAUAUUUCUAGUACAUAAAACCUAGAAUCAAGACAAUUAGACAAUAGCAUACAUAAGCAGACAAAAUACAAAUGUACAACUGUCUUGGGACAUUUGGUUAGGGAGGAUCAAUAAUGCACAUGAUUCCAGGUGAAUAUGUUUCUACAUGAUCCCAAGUUGGUGUAGUUAUAUGAGGUGUCCAGCCGCCAUAGAGUACAUAUUUCUUUAUCUUUGCUCGGGUCUGAUAAGGAUGAUAAAGACCCUAGAUUAUAGAAAGGUAUGAUCACUACAUGAGAAGACUGAACAACAGCUUCAGAAAUGUAAUAGCUUGGUUUUCAAGAAGCUUCUAUUAAGGAAUGAACAAAAUUAUUUAUUUAAAUAGUCUUUUAUAAUUUCCAUUUUGGUGUUGUUAAUUUGAUCUUUGUAUGAGAGUUAUGAUUGGAAGCAAAAUCAGAUUUUUAAACCUUAUGCAUUAAAAUUACAAAAUUGCCCUAAAAAAAAAAGGGGGAGAAGAACAAAAAAACCCAUUUCCUGUUUUUUCAUUUCUCUCGUGGCUUUUCUAAGUUUCUAGAGAAAUCUUUAUUCUCUAAUGUUUUUCUAAAUUCUCCUAAACUAGAUUACCUACAAGAUUAAGAGCAAUUGAAACCCCCAAAAACCUAUUUUCCUUCUCUCUUAUUUCUUCUUCUCCGUUUUUCGUCAAUCUGUUUCUGCAAUUUUCUCUAACAUGCAAUCCAAAUUUGCUCCUUGUUUCUUCAUCAAAGUUGUAGAUCUCUUUGAGUUAUUGAAUUUAGGCACAAAAAUCGUCCAAUUCAAAGUUCGGAGCUAUGAGUUAUGCUCUUUACAAGUUUCGUGUUGCUGCUGAACUUUUUGACGCGUUGCUGCUGUGUGUUCUUUCGUGCUACGGUGCUGCUGCGUGUGUGUGUGAUUCAUGCAUAGUUGUUGUUGGUGCUUGCAACCAUCAUCUCCUUCAUCUCUUUUAUGGGGGUAUAAGUAUAAGCUCUCUUCCUCCUCUUUUCAAUUCCAAGAAUUCAAAUCCCUCUUGAAAUGGGUUCUAUUUCAAUUUUAUGAUUUCACAAAUAAAUUGGGUUCUUAAUCUUGCUUUUGAUAUACAAAAAAAAAAUCAGUUUGUGGUAUAGUUAGUUAAACGUAAAGAUUGAAUAUUUCCUUUUAUUUAAUGGAUUGGAGCUUAUAGUAUGAAUUGAUCCUUCUGAAUUAAGUAAGAUUAUAAAAUUUGAUUUAUAUAAAUUAUGUUGUUUGAUUAUAUUCUCUAUACAUUAGAAUGGGAAAUUAGAAUUAUCAUGUGAGAUAGAAAAAUGUGAAUUGGAAAGUGAAAUAGUUUGUAUUUAAGAGUUAUAGUUAGUUCAUAAAAGAGUUUAGAAGGUAUGAGCAAGUAAUUUCAUUUAUCUGAAUCAUAGUAGAGAUGAAUGUUAAUUAUUGUUAUUAUUGUUGUGAGGUGAUUAUUGGAGAUUGAGUAUGAAUAAUGAGAUAUUGGACUCUCGAAGAUUUUUAUGGAGUCGAGUGCUAUUUAAAGAUGCGUAGAGAGUUCAUAGUUAGUGAUCUUGCAGGUUCGUGUGUGGAAAGCUCGGAAUGGAGUAAAAGGAAGAAUUUAGGUAUCAAGGUUAUAAUUAGAUGUAAUGGUUCAGAGGUUGUAUUUAGGGUUAUAUAACCUUAUUUGUGAAUAAAUUAUUAUAUUGCUUUAGAAGUCGAGCAAGGUAUUAUGUAAUAUGUUAUUUGGUUAUUGAGGAUGAUUUGUUGUGGGCCCUGGCCCACAGGUCCAGGAUCGUUCUAUAGGUUAUGUUUCCACUGCAAGUGAAUAUAAUUUGAGGUUAUUAAGCGUUAAUUGUAAUUAGCGUAUCUCAAGUGUGUUUAGCUAGCAGCUCGGAAGUGCGGGCUGUUACAGGAAAGGUCAUGAAGCACUGCACAUGCCUCUCUCUAUAAAGACAAAAAUUUGAAUCGAAACACUCUAAUACACUGUCGCUUACUCCUUCAAAGAAUUAGUACUUCCUUCCAAACACCAUCAACAACAAGUGUUAGGAGUAGGAUAUCAGCUCCAAAAGUCCAUCCUUAAUCAAAUUAGGAAGGAAAGCUGAUGGAAGAAGGUGAUGACUGAUGAGUAUGUAAUGCUUCUUUUUGGUGGUGAUGCUCUGCCAUAAAUGAGGUCAACUUGACUAUUAAUAAUUUUCAUGAUUGUUGAUGGAUGGAAAAUAAUCUCAUUACGACGAAGCCAACCAUGAAGACCAAAUCAUAAUUACAAAGCUAAUAACCCACACCAUAAGAAGGAGUGUGUACCUGUACAAGACUAGAUUGGACCAAUGGACCGAAAUAUGGAAUAUCUAUUGACUGGGACUGGACACAAAUAUUACGGUCCAUCACAGAUUUCAAUCUGGGUUCGAUGGUCUGAUUGGAGCCGAACAUGUAUUUUUUAAAAUUUUUUUUGUUUAGAUUUAAACAUAUUGAUGAAUUAGAUACAUUAAUAUUUAAUAGAUCUAAAGGCAAUAAAGAUUAAGUUUUUACC